GCCAGACUCCUACGGGAGGCAGCAGUGGGGGAUAUUGCACAAUGGGGGGAACCCUGAUGCAGCGACGCCGCGUGGGUGAAGGAGCGUUUCGACGCGUAAAGCCCUAUCGGCAGGGAAGAAAAUGACGGUACCUGAAGAAGAAGCCCCGGCUAACUACGUGCCAGCAGCCGCGGUAAUACGUAGGGGGCAAGCGUUAUCCGGAUUUACUGGGUGUAAAGGGGGCGCAGACGGCGAUGCAAGCCAGGAGUGAAAGCCCGGGGCCCAACCCCGGGACUGCUCUUGGAACUGCGUGGCUGGAGUGCAGGAGGGGCAGGCGGAAUUCCUGGUGUAGCGGUGAAAUGCGUAGAUAUCAGGAGGAACACCGGUGGCGAAGGCGGCCUGCUGGACUGCAACUGACGUUGAGGCUCGAGAGCGUGGGGAGCAAACAGGAUUAGAUACCCCCGUAA
rnacentral:rRNA from 1 species